rnacentral:misc_RNA from 1 species
ACGAACUCGUGUGGAUGGGAAAGAAUUCUUCCGCCAUGUCAGGUAAAAUUUGUGAUGGUUGAAAAGUUUGAUUUGUGAAAAGAGUUUCACAGUUCAAUAAUCUUCAGCACUGGAUUAUGCCAAUGCCAGUGUCAAUGCCCACGCAAAUGAAACUAAUAUACAUAAAUGCCUUGCACUCAAUAUUUCUUUUCCUGCUUCCAGUAAAACACACCAUGCAUACAGCUGAAUUGAUACUCUUUAUAGGUUCUAAUCUAAUCUCUUCUUUUGUUUAAUUAGGAGCCGUUUGUCUUAUGAG